rnacentral:rRNA from 1 species
GGUAAUUUUCCGCAAUGGGCGCAAGCCUGACGGAGCAAUACCGCGUGAGGGAGGAAGGCUCUUGGGUCGUAAACCUCUUUUAUCAGGGAAGAACACAAUGACGGUACCUGAUGAAUCAGCAUCGGCUAACUCUGUGCCAGCAGCCGCGGUAAUACAGAGGAUGCAAGCGUUAUCCGGAAUUAUUGGGCGUAAAGCGUCCGCAGGUGGUUUUGGUAGUCUGCUGUCAAAGCGCGAGGCUCAACUUCGUAUCGGCGGUGGAAACUCCAAGACUAGAGCUAGGUAGGGGUCACGGGAAUUCCCAGUGUAGCGGUGAAAUGCGUAGAUAUUGGGAAGAACACCAGCGGCGAAAGCGCGUGACUGGGCCUGAGCUGACACUCAUGGACGAAAGCUAGGGGAGCGAAAGGGAUUAGAUACCCCUGUAGUCCUAGCCGUAAACGAUGACAACUAGGUGUUGCCCGUAUCGACCCGGGCAGUGCCGUAGCCAACGCGUUAAGUUGUCC